rnacentral:rRNA from 1 species
ACCCGCACAAGCGGUGGAUGAUGUGGUUUAAUUCGAUGCAACGCGAAAACCUUACCUACCCUUGACAUGUCCGGAAUCCCGAAGAGAUUUGGGAGUGCUCGCAAGAGAGCCGGAACACAGGUGCUGCAUGGCUGUCGUCAGCUCGUGUCGUGAGAUGUUGGGUUAAGUCCCGCAACGAGCGCAACCCUUGUCAUUAGUUGCCAUCAUUUGGUUGGGCACUCUAAUGAGACUGCCGGUGACAAACCGGAGGAAGGUGGGGAUGACGUCAAGUCCUCAUGGCCCUUAUGGGUAGGGCUUCACACGUCAUACAAUGGUCGGUACAGAGGGUUGCCAACCCGCGAGGGGGAGCUAAUCCCACAAAGCCGAUCGUAGUCCGGAUCGCAGUCUGCAACUCGACUGCGUGAAGUCGGAAUCGCUAGUAAUCGUGGAUCAGCAUGUCACAGUGAAUACGUUCCCGGGUCUU